rnacentral:rRNA from 1 species
AACGUAGGGUGCGAGCGUUAAUCGGAAUUACUGGGCGUAAAGCGCGCGUAGGUGGUUUGCUAAGUUGGAUGUGAAAUCCCCGGGCUCAACCUGGGAACUGCAUUCAAAACUGACUGACUAGAGUAUGGUAGAGGGUGGUGGAAUUUCCUGUGUAGCGGUGAAAUGCGUAGAUAUAGGAAGGAACACCAGUGGCGAAGGCGACCACCUGGACCUGUACUGACGCUCAUGCACGAAAGCGUGGGGAGCAAACAGG